UGUUUUGUUUCAUCUCUUCAG
rnacentral:piRNA from 1 species